UUCGACCAGUCUUUUGAGUUGAAAUAUGUUGAUCCGUGGAAGCAACAGCUGGGUCUUAUGGCUCUUUUCACUCUGUCUUAUCUGUUGAGUAACAAAGGACUUGAAUUUCCAAGGACUUUUUUUUUUUUUCAGCCUUAGCAAGAAAAGAAAGAAAAAAAAUCAGGAAAAGAAGGCUUUUGGGAACAUACGCCAUUUGUUAUUUUGAGCAAGUAGGUCUUCUUUAGAAGUCUUCCAAGAAGGUAAAGAUGACUUUCCAAAAGAAGGAAAAUUACUUAGCAUCUUCCACAUUUCAGGGAUGUAGCAGAAUUUGAUGAAGAGCAAAAGAUGUCUUUGCCGGGAGAGUCCAUCUUUAGGUAUGUGAGAGGAAGCACCAGAUGUUUGGCACAGCAUCUCAACUUGAUGUCUAUUUCUUCUUGUUCUCCUUCACCUCACAUGAACCUUCCAAGUCAUAAUUCUUUGGAAAUAGACACAAGGAGCUUUAUUUCAAAUUAACAUCUUUUACUUAAGGAGUUCCAUCUCCAAGGGCAGUAGGAGUCAAAAAAAAAAAAAAAAAACCAAAAAACAAAAAAAACUCAUUGUAGAAUUUCUUGGCUAUGUAUAUUUUGGAGAAAAAAAAAAAAAGAAAGAAAAUGAAAAGAAAGAAACCAGAGGCACAAGAUUGUUAAGCAAUGUCUUCUUGUUCGCAUCAGCCAGAGACUCAGGAAUAGGAAUCAAACUUCAAGAAUUUUACGUUUGAUUCUUUUUUAACAUUUGAUUUACUGAAAACUGAAACUAUUCUAUCAGUCGCUCCGCAACUUCAACUUUGAUCAAUGCCUCUAUUCAAUAGGGGGUCAAAUACCUGAAGGGAAAUAAAAGAAUUCUCUGGAACA
rnacentral:lncRNA from 1 species